rnacentral:tRNA from 1 species
GAACUCGUGGUGUACUGGUUACCACAUCUGGCUCACCCACAGAAGGUGGGCUGUUCGAAUCCGCCCGUGAUCA